rnacentral:misc_RNA from 1 species
GUCUGUUUAUAGGCCUAGUAAUGAAAGUCAAAGAUUGAAGAUUGUAGAUGUAGUUAAAGUCAUUUUCCUCCUUUUGUAUAUAGAAUGAAAAUUUUGAUUACUUCUUAUGUAUGGGUCUAACUAAUGAUGUAACAUGAACAAUAGAUAUCCUAACUAACGAUGUAACAUGAACAGUUGAUGUCCUAAUGUUAGUCAAGGUUAAGCAGCCAUGCUUAAAGUAUAUUUUGCAUAAUGACUACCAGAUACCAUUAAUGAUCAUAAAUUGUCCAAGUAUGAGUUAGAUCAAUACAAUGGAAUUAAAACUUACACAAAAAUAGGUUCCUUAAAAU